UACAGAGACCUCAAGCGUUAUCCGGAUUUAUUGGGCGUAAAGCGUUCGUAGGCGGUUUCGUAAGUCAUUUGUUAAAUCUUCAGGCUCAACCUGGGGGCUGCAGGUGAAACUGCGAGACUUGAGUGUGGGAGAGGCAAGCGGAAUGCCCGGUGUAGCGGUAAAAUGCGUUAAUAUCGGGUAGAACACCAAAGGCGAAGGCAGCUUGCUGGAACACAACUGACGCUCAGUGAACGAAAGCGUGGGGAGCGAAAGGG
rnacentral:rRNA from 1 species